CAACUGUGUUUGGAAUGUUCAGAGCAGUUCUGCCAAGGAUUGGUUCAGAGGUGGUCACGUGUUUUAUGGACGCCAUUUUUACUACCAAAAGCACUUUUGACUAGAAUGCUUUCUAAUGCUUUCAGAUGGCAGUGUUUGAGUAUCGUUGGCAUUAAGUCUUAAUAUCUUCACCAUACAGCGACCCAUUUUCUCACUGGAAACUUUUCUGAUAACGUUAACAUUAUAACGUUUACGUCAUAAGCAUUGUUAGUGAUAAGACUUGUUAAGACAUUUGCAGCACGGAUUUUGUUUCUAACUACCCGGAGAGAUGCCACUUCUGGAGGAGCAGCGAAUACAUCAUACAUCGUUCGUCUUAACCUUGUCUAAAAGGAAAACGGUUGGAACAACUCUGAUGAAGGUAGAGAAGAGUCAGUGGCUGGUGAAGUAAGAGGGAUACAGCUGUCUGCUGAUUCAAGGUCCCUGCCCCGUCGCCUCAACAUCCUCAAGAUCCUGUAGGCUACUGCUGCUGCUCCUUGCUUCAGCAACUUUCCCCUGAUGCCUGACACCCCUCAUCACCAAAUCAGCCCAGUCAACAUGGACCCAACAUGGACCCAAGUCUCCACCACAGUGUGCACAAUACACUAUACACAGACAGGGACGAGAACAAAGGUACAAUUGGUCUGAGGGGAGGACACCGCAGACAGCUGAUCAACUCCAUGUCAUCUAAUCAGGCCAUGUAAAGGACCAUGAAGGGAUGGACUUGGUGGAGGACAACAAUGUGACACCCGAAAAGAGUACAUGGAGAUCUCUCAUCCUCAUCCCUCAUGCUUAUAUUGCAUUUCAUAUAGGCCUAGAUUCUGAUGGUCUUGUAAAUGUUUGUUACACAAGUCAGAAAUUGUUGUCUUUGAUUAUUUAAUUUGAUUAUAAUAAAUGGAAAUAUAUUUUAUUGAAAAAUAUUUUUGAAAACCUAGCAAGUUUGUGUGUUUUAGUAUCAGAAUGAGCUUGUAUUGACCAAGUAUAUCUACAAGGAAUUUGACUGGCAUUAGCUGUUGGAACAAUUAGACAUACAGUAGUAUGCAGUCAGAAGAUGCAUACUAUAGAGCACCACAAUAUACAUAAGGCACCUACCAAUAGAUUGAGUGAUGGCAGUGGGAAAAAUGUGAUUAUUGUCUGGCAGGUUUUGUGCAUAAGGGUAAGUUAUUAUUUAACGGAAAAGUUUGAGGUCAAACUAAUGGUGACCUCCAUGUAGCUUUUGUAAUAAUAAUAACUUUAUAUAAUAAUAGCCUAACUUUAUGAUAAUAAUAUAUUUUUUAAAUAACAUGUGUUCAAUUAAAACUAUUUUCUUUUACUGUCCCAGAGUC